rnacentral:lncRNA from 1 species
CAGAGCUAUCAGCUUCCCAGUUUGCACAAUUCAUCAAGAAAUUAUGCGGGGUCACUGGCACAAAUGAUGAGGCAUCUCCUGGAAGCUUAACUUCUUAUCCAUCCCAUCUCUUGGACAGAUGAUGCCAGUUAAUUACUUUGAAUGCUCCUCCACCAAGCCAAGGCCAGACUCCUGCAAUCAUAGGAUGGCAACACCACCUCUAAAGCACAGAACUUCAGGCUUUGCUUCGGAAGUGGCACCAUGGUCUCUUCAUUUUCCCUUUCUUCAAGGCAAGUUUGAAAACCACUGCUUUAAAGAAAAUGGAUACUCCCCUUACCAAGCAGAAAGUAGGAUUUUGGAAACUGAUGCAAGGGAAGCAAAAAGAUGCCUCAGGAGGCACGAUUACAACAGGAUUGAUGCAAACGGAAGCUGAAGCUUAACCAAAGACAUUAAUAUACGCCCACAAAAGAAAAUGCUAAGGAAGUCAAGUGGUCUGCAUGAAUUCUGAAGAAAAAUGGAGAACCAAAGAACAAAAUUUGUCAAUGAAUUUCCAGCACAGUCUAGGUUAAGGGAGUGAAUUUCUUGACUGAAUGGCACAGACUCUGUACCACCUGAUUGGCUGUUACCUUAAUGGAGGAAUUAUAUUACAAUGUAUAGGUACUUUAAUUAGAAUGACCUGGCAGUUACUGAGGCAAAAUUUUCCGCUCCUUUGUAUUCUGUAAUACAAGAAGGAUCUACAUGGAUGUUCUGUUCUCUGAACUGUCUGGAUGAACCGGUCAAUGGCACUCAUCAUACCUUAGUUUUUAAAUCUGCAUUGUGGUCAUAAUCUGUUAUUUAAUUAAUUUCUCGUAUUUUUAAUAAAAACGUUGCCUAUA